UAACCAAUUCAGACCACAAAGACCA
rnacentral:misc_RNA from 1 species